CAGUGACAGAUAGUAGAGCAAUACCGUGAGAGAAAAGUGAAAAGCACCCCGGGAGGGAAGUGAAAAAGAACCUGAAACCUUGUGCCUACAAGCACCGAGAGUCCGUUAAAGGAUGAUCGGGUACUUUUUGUAGAACGGUCCGGCGAGUUAAUAUUUGCAGCGAGGUUAAGGAACUGGAGUUCCGGAGCCGCAGCGAGAGCGAGUCUGAAAAGGGCGUAUGAAGUUGCAGGUAUUAGACCCGAAACCGGGUGACCUAUCCAUGAGCAGGCUGAAGCGGUGGUAAGACACCGUGGAGGGCCGCACCCACGUCUGUUGAAAAAGCCGGGGAUGACUUGUGGAUAGCGGAGAAAUUCCAAUCGAACUCGGAGAUAGCUGGUUCUCCCCGAAAUAGCUUUAGGGCUAGCGUUAUUUUAGAUUACCGGAGGUAAAGCACUGAAUGGUCUAGGGGCCGCGAGGUUACCAAAGCCUAUCAAACUCUGAAUGCCGGAUAAUUGAUGAAUAGCAGUCAGACUGUGUGAGAUAAGUCUCAUAGUCAAAAGGGAAACAGCCCAGAUCUACAGCUAAGGUCCCAAAUGAACACUAAGUGGAAAAUGAUGUGAAACUGCGAAGACAACCAGGAUGUUGGCUUAGAAGCAGCCACUCAUUCAAAGAGUGCGUAAUAGCUCACUGGUCGAGUGGUUUUGCGCAGAAAAUGUAACGGGGCUAAGUGUUCAACCGAAGCUUAGGCAUUGCAGUAAUGCAUUGGGUAGGGGAGCGUCGUAUGCGGGGCGAAGUCAGAGCGGAAGCACUGGUGGACUGCAUACGAGUGAGAAUGCCGGAAUAAGUAGCGAGAAUUAUGUGAGAAUCAUAAUGGCCGAAAAUCUAAGGUUUCUUGGGGAAGGUUCGUCCGCCCAAGGUUAGUCGGGAGCUAAGCUCAGGCCGAAAGGCGUAGGCGAUGCACAUACGGUAGAAAUUCCGUAACCACCGAACAUUUAAGCUAGAGGGACGCUUUCUUUAAGGUUAUCCCGGGCGAUGGUUGCCCCGGGCGUAAGGGACCGAAAUUUAGUAGGGAAGUAACUGGCGAGAGAGACGAGAAAAGCUCUGGUGUAUACUAAGGUGCCCGUACCGCAAACCGACACAGGUAGAUGGGAUGAGUAUUCUAAGGCCAACGGGAGAAGGGUUGUUAAGGAACUCGGCAAAUUGGCCCCGUAACUUCGGGAUAAGGGGCGCCUGCGAGAGCAGGCCGCAGUGAAAAGGCCCAAGCGACUGUUUAGCAAAAACACAGCUCUCUGCUAAAUCGAAAGAUGACGUAUAGGGGGUGACGCCUGCCCGGUGCUGGAAGGUUAAGGGGAGUGCUUAGCGCAAGCGAAGGUGCGAACUUAAGCCCCAGUAAACGGCGGCCGUAACUAUAACGGUCCUAAGGUAGCGAAAUUCCUUGUCAGGUAAGUUCUG
rnacentral:rRNA from 1 species